UCCGUAGGUGGAUAAUUAAGUCAGAGGUGAAAUCCUGCAGCUUAACUGUAGAACUGUUAUUGAUACUGAUUUUCUUGAAUUCAGUUGAGGUAGGCGGAAUGUGUAAUGUAGCGGUGAAAUGCUUAGAUAUUACACAGAACACCGAUUGCGAAGGCAGCUUACUAAGCUGAUAUUGACGCUGAGGCACGAAAGCGUGGGGAGCGAACAGGAUUAGAUACCCUGGUAGUCC
rnacentral:rRNA from 1 species